AGUUGCCAGCAUUCAGUUGGGCACUCUAAAGGGACUGCCGGUGUCAAACCGGAGGAAGGUGGGGAUGACGUCAAGUCCUCAUGGCCUUUAUGUCUAGGGCUACACACGUACUACAAUGGCAGGUCAAAGGGCAGCGACACAGCGAUGUGAUGCGAAUCCCGAAAAGCCUGUCUCAGUCCGGAUCGGAGUCUGCAACUCGACUCCGUGAAGUUGGAAUCGCUAGUAAUCGUGGAUCAGCAUGCCACGGUGAAUACGUUCCCGGGCCUU
rnacentral:rRNA from 1 species